AGAGGUCGUCAAGCGUUGUUCGGAUUCAUUGGGCGUAAAGGGUGCGUAGGCGGCGCGGUAAGUCGGGUGUGAAAUCUCGGAGCUUAACUCCGAAACUGCAUUCGAUACUGCCGUGCUUGAGGACUGGGGAGGAGACUGGAAUUUACGGUGUAGCGGAUGAAAUGCGUAGAUAUCGUAAGGAAGACCAGUGGCGAAGGCGGGUCUCUGGACAGUUCCUGACGCUGAGGCACGAAGGUCAGGGGAGCAAACGGG
rnacentral:rRNA from 1 species